UGAGGAAUAUUGGUCAAUGGGCGCAAGCCUGAACCAGCCAUGCCGCGUGCAGGAUGGCGGUCCUAUGGAUUGUAAACUGCUUUUGUACGAGAAGAAACACCCCUACGUGUAGGGACUUGACGGUAUCGUAAGAAUAAGGAUCGGCUAACUCUGUGCCAGCAGCCGCGGUAAUACGGAGGAUCCAAGCGUUAUCCGGAAUCAUUGGGUUUAAAGGGUCCGUAGGCGGUCUUGUAAGUCAGUGGUGAAAGCCCGUCGCUCAACGACGGAACGGCCAUUGAUACUGCAGGACUUGAAUUACCAGGAAGUAACUAGAAUAUGUAGUGUAGCGGUGAAAUGCUUAGAGAUUACAUGGAAUACCAAUUGCGAAGGCAGGUUACUACCAAUGGAUUGACGCUGAUGGACGAAAGCGUGGGUAGCGAACAGGAUUAGAUACCCUGGUAGUCCACGCCGUAAACGAUGGAUACUAGCUGUUGGGAGCAAUCUCAGUGGCUAAGCGAAAGUGAUAAGUAUCCCACCUGGGGAGUACGAACGCAAGUUUG
rnacentral:rRNA from 1 species